rnacentral:rRNA from 1 species
UACGCAGGGGGCUAGCGUUGUUCGGAAUUACUGGGCGUAAAGCGCACGUAGGCGGAAUGUUAAGUCAGGGGUGAAACCCCGGGGCUCAACCCCGGAACUGCCUUUGAUACUGGCAUUCUCGAGUCCGGAAGAGGUGAGUGGAAUUCCGAGUGUAGAGGUGAAAUUCGUAGAUAUUCGGAGGAACACCAGUGGCGAAGGCGGCUCACUGGUCCGGUACUGACGCUGAGGUGCGAAAGCGUGGGGAGCAAACAGG